AGUGAACGCUGGCGGCAGGCCUAACACAUGCAAGUCGAACGGCAGCACAGUAAGAGCUUGCUCUUACGGGUGGCGAGUGGCGGACGGGUGAGGAAUACAUCGGAAUCUACUUUUUCGUGGGGGAUAACGUAGGGAAACUUACGCUAAUACCGCAUACGACCUACGGGUGAAAGCAAGGGAUCUUCGGACCUUGCGCGAUUGAAUGAGCCGAUGUCGGAUUAGCUAGUUGGCAGGGUAAAGGCCCACCAAGGCGACGAUCCGUAGCUGGUCUGAGAGGAUGAUCAGCCACACUGGAACUGAGACACGGUCCAGACUCCUACGGGAGGCAGCAGUGGGGAAUAUUGGACAAUGGGCGCAAGCCUGAUCCAGCCAUACCGCGUGGGUGAAGAAGGCCUUCGGGUUGUAAAGCCCUUUUGUUGGGAAAGAAAAGCAGCAGGUUAAUACCCCGCUGUUCUGACGGUACCCAAAGAAUAAGCACCGGCUAACUUCGUG
rnacentral:rRNA from 1 species